rnacentral:rRNA from 1 species
GAUUUCUGGGCUCAAGAAUUUGGCCGGCCACGGUUUCGUGUGUUAGUGCUUUGUUCUGUGUCCAUCCUUCCAAUCGCUACUGGCUCUUCUUCAUUGAUUGGUCAGUAGUAUUGGAUCUUUUACUUUGAAAAAAUUAGAGUGUUUCAAGCAGGCUUUAUGCUAUGAAUACAUUAGCAUGGAAUAAUAAUUUAGGACUUCGGUUCUAUUUUGUUGGUUUCUAGGACUGAAGUAAUGAUUGAUAGGGAUAGUUGGGGGUGCUAGUAUUCAGCGGCCAGAGGUGAAAUUCUCGGAUUCGCUGAAGACUAACUUAUGCGAAAGCAUU